rnacentral:rRNA from 1 species
UUUCCUACGGGAGGCAGCAGUAGGGAAUAUUGCCCAAUGGGGGAAACCCUGAAGCAGCAACGCCGCGUGGAGGAUGAAGGCUUUCGGAUUGUAAACUCCUUUUGUUAGAGAAGAUAAUGACGGUAUCUAACGAAUAAGCACCGGCUAACUCCGUGCCAGCAGCCGCGGUAAUACGGAGGGCGCGAGCGUUAAUCGGAAUUACUGGGCGUAAAGCGCUCGUAGGCGGUAUGUCAAGUCAAGGGUGAAGUCCCCG